UGAGUAUCACGUGGGCAACCUGCCUGUAAGCUCGGGAUAACUCGCGGAAACGCGGGCUAAUACCGAAUGACCCUUGCAUCCGCAUGGAUGCAAGAUAAAAGGCGGCUUUUGCUGUCACUUACAGAUGGGCCCGUGGCGCAUUAGCUAGUUGGUGGGGUAAUGGCUCACCAAAGCGACGAUGCGUAGCCGACCUGAGAGGGUGAUCGGCCACACUGGGACUGAGACACGGCCCAGACUCCUACGGGAGGCAGCAGUAGGGAAUCUUCCGCAAUGGACGAAAGUCUGACGGAGCAACGCCGCGUGAGUGACGAAGGUCUUCGGAUCGUAAAACUCUGUUGUCAGGGAAGAACAAGCAUCGGCCGAAUAAGCCGGCGCCUUGACGGUACCUGACCAGAAAGCCCCGGCUAACUACGUGCCAGCAGCCGCGGUAAUACGUAGGGGGCAAGCGUUGUCCGGAAUUAUUGGGCGUAAAGGGCGCGCAGGCGGUCUUUUAAGUCUGAUGUGAA
rnacentral:rRNA from 1 species